rnacentral:rRNA from 1 species
GACGAACGCUGGCGGCGUGCUUAACACAUGCAAGUCGAACGAUGAAGGAGGAGCUUGCUCUUCUGGAUUAGUGGCGAACGGGUGAGUAACACGUGAGCAAUGUGCCCUUGACUCUGGAAUAAGCGCUGGAAACGGCGUCUAAUACCGGAUACGACCUUCGGAGGCAUCUCCUGGGGGUGGAAAGAAUUUCGGUCAAGGAUCAGCUCACGGCCUAUCAGUUAGUUGGUGAGGUAAUGGCUCACCAAGACGACGACGGGUAGCCGGCCUGAGAGGGUGACCGGCCACACUGGGACUGAGACACGGCCCAGACUCCUACGGGAGGCAGCAGUGGGGAAUAUUGCACAAUGGGCGCAAGCCUGAUGCAGCAACGCCGCGUGAGGGACGACGGCCUUCGGGUUGUAAACCUCUUUUAGCAGGGAAGAAGCGAGAGUGACGGUACCUGCAGAAAAAGCACCGGCUAACUACGUGCCAGCCGCCGCAGUAACAC